GGAACUCACAAGAGAGGACAAAGAUGCAGCACUAAUUAGAUGUCAUGAGAGGUUUGAGAUUAAUUUGGAUGAGCAUUACGUGAAAGAUAGUUGCGAGGAUAUCCUGAAAAAUAGAAGCAGGUAGUGGCGUUACAAGUUAAAACAACUAUUUGAAAGUGCACACUCCGAGGAAGAAGCUCGUAAAAUUGAAGUGCCAGAGUUGACCCCCGAAAAUUGGAAUAGGCUUUGUGACAUGUGGAUCAAUCCACAUCAUAAGAAACGAUGCGACAUAAACAAGGUCAAUAGAACUAAGCUUAAAUCUAAUCAUUUCAUGGGGUCAAAAGCGUUUGUAGCGGCUCGUGCUGAAAUGGGUGGGACUAAACCUGAAGGAGUAGAGCCUGAUAGAAUCGAUUUUUACAAGCAUACUCAUUACACGAGUGAAAAAGGAUGGUCU